CCAUGCCUCUAGUUCCAUCUACUGGAGAGGCUGAGACAGGAAGAUUGCUUUGAGUCCAGGAGUUCACAACCAGCCUGGACAACACAGUGAGACCCUAUCUCAAACAUACAUAUAAAAUACAGAAAUGUACAUUAUUAGCCAGCAUACAUAGAUAAUCCAUAUAUUUUUAAUAUUUGUGUAAGAAAAAAUAGCUCAAUUUUCAUGUGAUAUGACCUUCCCCUUCUAUUUAAACCCAGGUUUAAAAGCAUAGUUGGAGAAACUGUAGCCACCUCUCCCCAGUACUUGAAAGGUAGCCAUCUUCACUGGACAUGGUAAAACCCCAUCUUGUCCACUGCUUACUCCUCCACAAGACCAAAGUCCAGGCUUGUCUUUCUUUCAGAUGGAGACUUUGACAUGGUAAAACUAAUCAAAAAACAUUUUAUGUAGUUGACCAUAUGUCCCCCAAAAAAGGGAAGGACUUACCCAGGUUCUGUUUAUGCCUGAGUGUUCAGAAUGAAGAGAAUGUUUUGCUUUAGAGACCUUACUAAUUUUUCCCAUUUCUAGGUUCCAAAUGAUUUUCAAAAACCUGCAUGUUUUUUUCUAUUAGUACCCUUCCCCCACCCAGUCAAGUGCAUAUUCACUCAUUUUUUUUUUUUAAACGCAGGACCAUCUUUAAUCUGUGAAGUUGAAUUUCCAUCAGAGGCGCUUGUGUGGCGUUGCUCAGAAGCUGACCAUAAUUUCCCCUUGCACUCCAGCUUGGUGCCACUCCUGAGCACAGUGAUGAGGUUUUGUUGGUGGUUUUCUGUGUUCAUUUGUUUCUAGCACUGCACUCAGUGCUCUACUUAAAUGAAGCAUUAGGUCUGCUGCUAAGGAGCUGAGAAUGAAAAAGAACACAAUAGGUAGGACUAAGAUGCCUCGGGGAACACGGAGAAGAAAGGACUGAGACUGGGAGCCUGCAGUGAUCUCCCUGCUUCCUCAGUUUCCUACAUGUAGGGACCCCUCCUCUCCCACACACCAUCUCCUGUCAGCCUCCUGCAGCCUACUUCAUGCAGUGCCAUACUCUCACUAAAGCCAUCCAAAUGUACACAGGCAAGAGCCUCAGUAGAGGCUCCUUUUUGUUCCACUUUGCAUUGUUUAAUUAUCUUUUUGAAUUUUCUUCCUUGACAUAUGUAACAGUGCCUGAGUUUUUUCACUUCUCCAUAUUUGUUCAGUAACUUCUUUAGGUCAGACCUAAAGAAGCGAAGCUUCUUCCCAGGAACCCUAUUCAUCACUUACCUGUUCUUUGUUCAGUUGGAGCAGGACUUUCUGCUGGCUGACUAUUGUCCGUGGGCCUGAGGGAGCACAAUAGAGUCCAGAAAUAGACCCACGUGCAUAGUGACUGCAGUAGAGUUCUGUCAAAAAUGCAACAGUCUUGAAAAAUGAUGGAAUAAUUGGACAUAAGAUGCAAAAUUAAAAACAAUCCGUACCAUAGUAAGAAUUAAAAUGAGUUAUAAUCCUAAAUAUAAACUAACUUGUAGAAGAAAAUGAAAGAAAAAAAUGUUUAACCUUGUGUUAGGCAUAGUUUUUAGAUACAACAAGUACACUUCAUUUAAGAAAAAGAAUGAUAAAUCAUACUUGAUCAAAUUGAAAACCUCUUAAGAUGCCAAGUGAAUAAAAAGACCAUAGAGUGGCAGGAAAUAUUUGCAUUUCUGAUGAAGUACAUGCAUCUAGAAUACAGCAGUCUCAAAACAAUAGUAAGUAUACCAUUUGGGCAAAUUAUUUAAACAGACACUUCACUAAAGGUUAUAUACUGGGCUGGGGAUGUAGCUCGUUGGUAGAGCACUUAACUAGUUUGCAAUGCCCUGGAUUCAAUUCCCAGGGGCGGGGAGGAUGUGGCAAGCAUAUGAAAUACGCUUGGUUCUUCAAUAAAUAACCAAUGAAAUAUUUAACAUAAUUAGUCUCUAGGAAAAUGCAAAUUAAAACUAAAGUAGGCUGCACCACAUACUAUUAGAAUGCCUAAAAAUAAAAACCUACCACAUAUUGGUGAGGAUGCAGAAGAGCUAGAACUUAUGCUCGGCUGAAGGUAAUGAGAAAUGGCACAGUUACUUUGGAAGACAGUUGUAGGUCAUGUACAUUUAACGUUCCUAAUUAUUUGUCAAAAGAAAAAGUAUAUUUCCCUAUGAAUACUUGUACCUUCAUAGUAACUUUAUAAUAACCCAAAGCUAGAAGCUACCCACAUUUAUCAACAAGUAAAUACAGAAAUUGUGAUUAUUUACAUAAUGGAAUAGUGCUUAACUUGAAUUCACUGUUGAUACAUGCAACAUGGACACAUCUCAAAAGUACUGUUAUAAAAUGUAUACACUAGAAAAUGUGGAGUCAUCUAAAAAAGUGUAUAGAAAGAGCGGUGGGGUUAGGAGUUGGAGGGAGGACUUGUAGAGAUUUCAAAGGGGCAUGAAGAAAUGGGGGUGAUGGAUGUCUUGUGGUUCUGGUUUAACAUGUAAUACAUAUGUCAAAACUUAACAAAUUGAACUUAUUGUAAGUUAAUGUCUUGAUGCCCUUUCUAAGUAACCAUUUGAGUCCUCCUCUGUCCUCAAAGCACCACAUCCUCCUUUCUCCUCACUUUGAUGACAGUCCUGUGUCACCGAGAAGGAGGAAGCAGUCCAAAGAGAACGUUCACAAGGUCACACAAUCACAUCUACACCUGAUCUGCCCCUUUGUCCAUGUGCUCACCAGUUAAUUGAGCUCCCAGAGUGACACUGCUUUGCCUGCCGUUUAAUGCAGACUGCAGUGAGAGAGGUGCCUCAGGCCAGAUGGGCUCCACUGAAGAGCCCCAUUCACCUUCCACUGCUUUGAGGGAUAAGUGUGCCCUGCCUACUGGAGGGCUCUGGGCUGCAAUCCUGCCCUCCCAUGCGUCUUCUCUUCUGUUGGGCUAUUCCCAUCAUUACUUCCCACUGCUGCUGUGAUUCUUCCACUAAAAAUACCUUGACCCCGCCACUCUGUUUCCUUCUCAGCAAAUGCCUUCAAAGAGUUAUCCAUACUCAUGUUAACUUCCAACUCCAUUCCCAUUGGAUAUUCAUUCCCAUUUUUUCCCUGGAAUUGCUCUUGUAAUUGCUGCUAAAUUUUAUGAUUAAUUCUCAGGUCUUAUGUUUCUUGUCUCAUCCAGUACUGUUGAUUUCCUCUCUUCUGUUGAAACCACUUUAUUAGUUUGUCCAAACACUGCAGUCUUCUAAUUUUCUUCCUGUCCAGACUCUUCUUUUUAAACUUAUUUGCUGGCUCUGUCUUGUCUUCCAGUCGUUACAAGCCCCAGGGCUCAAUCUGGGACUGUGUUCUCCCUUCACUCGGGUUAUGCUAAUUUAGUGAUGUUCCACACCAUUCAGUCCCACAGCUGUAAAGACCAGUAUGCUGAUUACUCUCAGGUAUGUGUGUGUGAGUGCACUCAAGACAUUUUGCCUGCCUUUCCUAAAUGCCAGAAUGUAUGUGCAUCUCAUGCUCCUUUAUCCAGGCUGACAGCAAAUCUUUACCUUCUUAAUAAAUCCAUAAUCUGGCAACACUCUUGCCACCAUGGUGCACAUGACCAUCCUCCUCCUCCUGCCUAUGGUAAUGCUGUUUUCCUGGGCUUUCUGACUCUGUUCUUGCCUUAUUCUUUUUCUCCACUGAAUCUAUACUAUUUCUGUUGAUUGGAGUCAAAUCAGUUUCACGCGAACUGGCAAGUGGAUCACCAUCACAAAAUUGAAGUCCAUGAUGGCCUUCAAUACCAGGCAGCACAUGUUGGAACUCUUUUCCUCCCUCUGAAAUAUCACCCCUGUGCUCACUCUGCCUCAGGGCCUUUUCACUGACUAUUUGCUGUGUCUGAAUGUUUAGGUUCCUCAAUCUCAUUUCUUUACUGAGCUGUGGUUCCCAGUGAGGCUGGUCUCCCUGCUGUAUAUCUCAUACUACUUAGCACACUCUAUAGUUGACUUUUCUUAUGUUUACAUGUUUUCCACUUGAAUGUAAGCUCCAGAGAUUAUAUUUUUUAAUCUGAAUUACUGCUGUAUUAUUAAUCUCAGUUUGUGGCACAAACCAGGUACUUGUAAGCAUUUCUGAGUGAGCAAAUAAACGAUGAAUUUGGAAUCAAAAUAAUU
rnacentral:lncRNA from 1 species